GCAGCUCCAGCCUCAGUUCAGAUCUUCUGUUGUUAGCGGGUGGCUUGCGCAUGUGUGGUUCAGUCCAUCAGAAAGGUUAAGGAGAUGUAACCACCAGCCAUCCUGAAACUGACCAAGCCACACCACAAGAGCUAUGCCCAUGACCUUUGCUUUAUUUUUAAUGCAAAGAUCUCUCCAGGAGGAGCUUAGGCCUCAUUAUGUGAAAGCAUGUUCUCGAACUGAGCCUGUGGAAGUGAAUACCCACCUCUCCCUUUUGAAUAUUAUUCCCCAACUGAAAUAAAAGUUCCUGCUUCCCUUAGUUCUGGGA